CUUCUUUUUCUUGCCGGAAACAGAGACAACAAGAGGGAGAGAGUGAGACUGAGAUGAGAGAUCAAGGGAGAGAGUGAGAUUGAGAGACCGAGAGAGAGAGAUUCAGAGACUGAUCGAGAGGAAGAGAACCCGGGUGAGACCCGACCAACCCAGACCCACGUCCGUGGGUCAGCACCGAUAGUCGACCGGAAGCCCGAUUUCCGGAGGGUCGAUGGCGGGCUGACAGCGUUGUCCAGCAGAGCAGGGGCCGUGAAACCCGGCCGACCCAUCAAACCCGAAGAAAACCCGAGAGAUCCAAGAAACCCGUGACUCACGACCCGUGACCGUUGAACCCGACGACGUCGUCCAGUAGAGCGGAGGCUGUUUUCCGACGAGACAAGUUUAUUUUCGGUGGAGCCCAGGCCGAUUUCCGGCCGAUCGAGGAGGACCCGAGCGACCCGCGAGCCAAACCCGUCGGAACCUGGGAGAACUGGUGCGACCCGAAUCUUCCGGAGGUUCGAUCCUCCAUGUCCGGCGAUCCCUGUAGCAGUUUCCGGUGAGUCGUUACCCGUGUGCAACAACCCAGCCGAACCCCGAAGCCCCGUGACCCAGAACCUGACCCCAUGACCCGAAGACCCGAGAGGAAGACCCGGUUCUUCUUGUGCAAUUCCGGCGAAUUUCCAACGAUUUUUCCGGCGAACCAGAGCCGAUUUUCGGUGAUUUCUUCGGUGGAUUUUCUGGGAAAAUCCUCAAAGUAAAAGCUCGACUCCGAGGCUAACGGCUAGUGCAGAUGACAACUGUAAGAUGAAGUCUUUUUCUUGUAAGGGCGUAGACCUCGCUGAGAGCGAUAGUUCGUGAUGAACCAGCCAAACCCUAAUAUUGUAUAGUAUGAUUUGUUCCUUUUGGAGUUCAUGAUUUUGUAUAGAUUUAUAAAUAGAAAGUUUUAAGAGAGUAGAAAUUUUAAAUUUUUAGUUGUAAAUGCACGCUUUCAUUUAUAAUGUUUGUUUUUAGCACUUAAA